rnacentral:rRNA from 1 species
CCCUUAGAUGUUCUGGGCCGCACGCGCGCUACACUGAUAAUGUCAACAAGCUUUACCUUGGCCGAUAGGUCUGGGCAAUCUUCGAACUAUUAUCGUGAUGGGGCUAGAUUAUUGCAACUAUUAAUCUUAAACGAGGAAUUCCUAGUAAGCGCGAGUCAUCAGCUCGCGUUGAUUACGUCCCUGCCCUUUGUACACACCGCCCGUCGCUCCUACCGAUUGGAUGGUCCGGUGAAGCCUCGGGAUUGUGGUUCUUGCCGCUUUAUUGUGGCGUGACCGCGAGAACUUGUCUAAACCUUAUCAUCUAGAGGAAGGUGAAGUCGUAACA